CAAAGGUAGUUUAUUUUAAAACUUAGGCUUUGGGAGUCUAUAAUACUAUUUAGUAGUUCUUUGA
rnacentral:tRNA from 1 species